rnacentral:rRNA from 1 species
UACGUAGGGGGCGAGCGUUGUCCGGAGUUACUGGGCGUAAAGCGCACGCAGGCGGUCUGUGAAGUUUGGAGUGACAGUUGGUGGCUCAACCACCAAAGUGCUUUGAAAACUGACAGACUUGAGGGCUUCAGAGGGACACGGAAUUCCGGGUGGAGUGGUGAAAUGCGUAGAGAUCCGGAGGAACACCAAAGGCGAAGGCAGUGUCCUGGGGAGUACCUGACGCUCAGGUGCGAAAGCCAGGGGAGCGAACAGG